CUGGGCACUUUAAUAGUACAGAUGUAGAAAUCAGUACAGAUGACAAACAGAGUCUCAACCAAGACCCAAGGAAGCCUCCUCUAGCUUCUCUUCUUCUCUCUUUUAUGCUGUUAGGUGUGUGUGUGUGUGUGUGUGUGUGUGUGUGUGUGUGUGUGUGUGUGUGUGUGUGUGUGUGUGUGUGUGUGUGUGUGUGUUCUCCAGAAGGCCCCUCAUGAUGACAUGUCUGCCCCACGACACUUUGUUUAGGUUCGUCUUGACCCUAGCAGAGAUUACAUGUUCCAACAGACAGAUAGUUUGGGCUCCUGCAAGACAGCCUUGCUUACAAUCUCAUGGUCGUGGGGCAGCAGGAGCAGGCCAACCCAGAUUAUUUGUAGCUUCUUACUAAAAGAUAAUUACUCUACAUUUCUUAACCUAAAUGUAUGAAGACAUUCCCCUACACAUCCCCCCUUUGAAAGUUCUUACUUUCAUAAAAACCUAAUCAUCAUAUCAAACACUAAACAUCCUUAUGUGAUUAAAGAAACAAAAAUCAGUACCAUACCAUACCAUAGCUAGGAUCAUUUCAAAUUAUAUCAACGCGUAAGACUGAAAACCCUGCUCGGCUGUUUCAGCAGGGAAAGAAUCUUACGGCCCCGCGCCCUGGCGACCAUCCAUUUCCUGGAUGCGCUGACAUAAUUUCAUUUGCAUAGAAGAAAGUGUCCACAUUUGAUAAUAUCAUUACAUUACAUUACACAAACAUGUUGUUUGUGUUGCUCAAAGUCCAUUGCUCAUCUUCUUCUCCUUCAAAGUCCAGGAACCGUUCCGGUCCCUCAGUCCCUCCUUGAUUAGUCACACACUGUACCAGCUGUUUUGGUGGCAUUUCCUGUAGUUCAUGGGCCAGUGUUAGGUCCACCAUAAGUCCCAUCUCCUCCGUCAGCUUCCAACAAUGUCUCCAAAGGAUGUGUACGAUGCGACAUGUGAGAAAGGAAAUCAGAAUUAGGGCUAUCGCAGCACUCAUGGCUGGGCCAAAACGGCUCUCAUUCAUCUAAAAUUUGGACCACCCAGUCCAUUAACAGGCCCCCCUUACCAGCAUUCUCCCACAUUUCCACUUUAAACUUUCCUUUACCCUUCAUAGCUUUAGAAAAACCUCUCCCAGGGGCUUGUUCUGUUAGAAAUGUAUCUGCAACAGUACUUUAUAAACUUUUAAGACACAUCUUUUCUCUUCAAACACCCAAUUUAAUGCUUGUCUGUAUUGACAUGUUACUGGACUUGUUACAUGUAAAUAUCCUUUAAUCUAAACAUCUUCGCUGAAUAAUCAACAAAUGAAAUCAAACAAAAUCAAAUCAAACACAUCUUUCUUUCACAUAAUUACUUAAUUUUACUUUUAAAAAACAGCUGUUAUUUUAUUGCCACACACGACUUUUCAGCAUUCAUUUUACUCCCUAUGUGAUAAAUUCAUCUGGAACCUUUCCUCCAAUAUCUGAGAUCUACUUAGUGUGUAGGGCUCUCUUGUUUCUGAUUAUCUAUAUAUAAAAAAAAAAUCUUUUUAAUUUUAUUAUCUAUUUAACCUCAUUGUAAAUCUGUAAUAAUCUGUGAAUGUUGGCAUGGGUUCUAGCUCUGUCUGGAGUGGUGUGGAUUGUGUUUUGGGUUGCAUCGUACUCACCCGCGAUAACAAUGUCUCCCACUUCUUCUUCUCACAGCUGUACUGGCACCAGUUUGACCUUCACCCUCAUUGUUGCCAUCAGUCUCUCUCUCGGUCUCUCUCCACACAUUGGCCCUCAGCAGCAACACCAGGAAAACAGUUACUUUCAGGACGAGUGCUACAGUCAUUCUGGGAGUGUCUCUUAUCAAGUCAUACUUCCCUUGUUUUUUCUGGGCAGUCAGCGGUAGAUGACGCCACAUCAUAUUGCCCUCUUCUUGCACUGAAGUAGAUUCACCAGGACCACAGUGUUCAGGUCUUCUCCUCAUUCUUUGUGCCACCCUCCUCAAAGGACGGUGAUGUACACCUGGUGAUCUGGCUCGACUGGCCUCCACCUCUUGACUGGGAUCAGAUUUUGGCACUCCUCCUACUAAUUGAUAGAUCUUUGCAUCAUAGUUAGCUGCCUCAUAUAUUUAAUUCACUAAUUUUCAGCUCUCAAGCGAAAAACUUAAUUAUUUAGCCGCAGUAAAGCAUAGCUUUGUAAGUUAGUCAAUCAUGCAGUGAAAGAUUUAUCUCAGUGCUUUUGAUUGUGAAAGCUCAUAAGCGCAAGUAGCAAAAGCAUCUUCCUAUACGUUAGUGUUAGUGCAAAUUCUCUGAUCUGAUAUUUACUUGAGAGAUUAACUUUCUUCCCCAAAAUGAUGUACCAAAUCAUGCAAUGACAGAUUUAUUUUGACUCCAAGAUCUUUUGAUGGUGUUGCUUCUAUCCAUCGACUGAACCUGUCAUCAUUACAAACAUGUAACAUAUCCCUUGGCAGUUUUAAUCAUGUCCACAUUGCCUAUGAAUAGAUUUCUAAAAGCGUCUCUCUGGAACUGGAACAGAGUCCCGCUACUGUUUUAUUGUUCUCUUCAAUUUAUCUAACAAAACACAUAUCACAAUGACCCAAAAGUUUAUCAACUAUUGUCAGCAUAUUCUAAAAAUGUUGUUUUAAUUGUCUCAUUAUCUCCCCCCUUUCACAGUGUGAAUCACUGUGAAAGUCAGAUCCUAAGUUUGUUUGUUAAUACUACUGGUACAAAAACUAGUUAUUUGACUCUAAACCAUUUUCUGUGGCCUUAUUGACCUUUGAUAGCUUCCUAUUACUUUUACAUUAGGUGGCACAUCUGUGAGGAGUGUAUGUGGAUUCAGCACAGCUGCAUUUAGAUUUAUCAGUAUUAAAAUAACAGAACAGGAAUGUUACAAUGCUAAUGUCACGAUAUUUACUUAAAACUAUAAACCAUAACUGUCUACUUACACACCUUGCGGUGAGCACCACAUUUGAAUGUUACUUCUACAUAGGGCUCUUUGGUCUAUAAGGUCAACAGGGUUAAAAUUAAAACUAACAAUUAACUUUUUCCAUCAUCCACAAAAAUCACACUGUAGUAAGCCACCACUUUCACAUUGUCUGGGCUGGGGCCCCCCACCACAGCUCCAGCCAGAGGCGUCCCUGGUCUGGGCAGUUGUCAAAAAUGUCUGGUAUGAUCACAUCCCCAGCAGGUCUUUAGACGUCACACGUCCGUCAGAAUUCCACUCUCUCUCCCUGCCGGGAUAUAUCAUCUCUAUGGAGCAGGGUUCUGUCUGAGGAUAAACAUUCACAACAGGUGAUUAAACAGGUUACUGUCACAGGCUUUACCGCAGUUAGCGUCUGCACGGUCUGCAUCGCUGGGUCUCUUUUGCAGUGUCCCCCUUAGAGGUGGCUGUUUUAACUUCCGCUGAAUGUUCUUUUCCUGUUCUUUCGGUCUCCGCUCUUCAUCUGGCAGCAUCCUCCACACCACAUCACAUCACAAUAUGCAUUGAACUCAGUCCCAUCAGUCAUGGGAUUCGUCAUCCAACCCCUUUUUUUUUUUUUUUUUUUUGCUUUGUGCAGAAACUCCUCCAUCGUCUUAGUUCCCAGCAGUUUAGCCAAGAGUGCUUUCAUGUCUGGUGUAGUCAACAAUUUCCUACAGUUCAUCCUCAAAAACUCGUAUCCAUCUCCCUGCCCCCUGUUCAGUUUGUGGUAGUCUGGCAAUCAGCCCAACAAGGUGUGUGGUUUUCCACGGCCACAAUUUCACGAAAACUGUCAAUUACCUAUUCAAAACAUAUGGGACAAAAAUAGCAGUGAUUAUGAAUCAUUUGGAAAUUCAAAUGACAUGAGUAAAUAAAAAUAAAAAAUUUUUUUAAGGCAACCUAAGAUAGAAAAAAAAUUAGUUUUUUUUUUAUUCUAUUCUUAUUUAUUAGUUCAAAAGAUCAGAGCAUGAUUAAGAAAAAACAAAUAAUCUAAAGUAUGAAAAUGACACAAAUCUUUGAACAUGUCCAGUACUUCUAGUUCCAUAUCUCUUGUUUUUGCUUGUUUUACUUUUAUCUUUGUGUUUUAUGGCCUUAGAUUCGCUGCUCCAAAUCCUCACACACAGCCACAUCAGAUGUGCCUCCCCUAGAUCAUAAAAAUUCAAACCCCUUGACUCAAUGUUCCCAUUUCUGUGUAAGUUUUUGGAUAUCAUUUAAGUGUUCAGUAUAUUUACACCCUACCAAUGCAAUUGGAGUUAAACUAAUCUUCCCUUUCUGGUCAUGGUUUUUGUAAAAUUUAUUAUUCAAAUGAGCACACACAUUAAAACUUGAUCCCCAGAAGUUUUGUAAAAUUCCCCCAAAAAAUACACAGUAUAAAGCUUUUGCCUUAACUGAAGUUCUAUAGCAAUAGUCAGUAUUGAUAUUAACAGCUUCAAUAAUAUUUAAAAAACACAGUAUUUUGGCAAAAACAGCAGAUGUAUAGAAGCAACUCUUAGAUUUGAAGUUUUAGAAGUUUUGCACUUGUGGUACCUCAUUUCUUUUUCCCCUUUUUGUAUCUUCUAUACUUUUACAAACAUUAUUUCAGCAGCUUUAACACAGAACAUUUGUUAAGGAGCAUAAGACAUGUGUUCACAACAAAAAAUCAUCAUAAUAUUGAAGCAUAAGCUAAAACCUUCAUAUCAGGAGUGUUCAUCAUGGUACUAGGAACAGAACCUCUUUCCCAGGAGUAUUUAACCUUCUAUGUCUCAACUGAUAACAUGACCGCAAUGAGCACAGUAUUCACAUAAACAACUAUGAAAUAAACACAAGUGAGGAAAACACAGCAAUCUUUGACUAACAUAACACACACACAGAUGCAGAGUCUGGCUGUGAACACUGCCAGAGAACUUAGUUGACACAGAACAAAACAGACACACACAAACAUCCAACCAACCCACACACUUCACUUUUUCAUCACACAAUGGUAUACCCUUUCACACGUGUUUGAAGUCAAAGUCAGUCACUGGAGUCAGUCAGCAGUCUUCUAUUUUAAUUCUUGUUUUGAUUUCUUCAAUUUUCCCAAUUUGUGUGAUUUUUUCAAUUUGUGUGAUUCUUCUACAAUUGGUCAGGAGAUAUGGGACGUGCUUGUUCAAUUGGGAUCCCUGAAUAGGCUUUUCAGCCUAUCCUUAUUGACCUCUUUUUCUAUCUCCUGCUCAUCAAGCCAAUCUGUAUCUGUAAUUUAAGUCCAAUUAUAACACUGAUUUUGUGAGGUCUUUGACAUAUAAAAGAGAUAUAUAUAUAUGUUCAUUUUAAAUUUCUACUAUUCCGUCAUUAUACUUAUUCAGCCCUCUAGAGUUCUGGAUCAGAAUUUAUGAGGAAAUAUGCCACUUUCGUUCUCCUUUUGGCUUUUUCUUAAGCCUCAGCGGAACUUCGCAUGACAAGUCCACUUUCUAGUGGAGUUUUCCAGAAAGAAAAUCCACGUAUGUAUUACGAGAUGAAUCUGCUCGUCCAUCGGCAGCCACCUUUCAGAGCUCAUGAAAGAUGGUCUAAAACUCACAGUUCAACAAUGGACAGACACACUCGUUUCUGCCGCUCCCCUUGUUAUCCCAAAAAUUACCCAGAACCUUUUUAUCUCCAGGCAUUCAGCCUAAAAAAAAUCACAUCACAACCCGGGCCCGGCUGUCUCCCCAAGCUACUGGCCAGUGCUUUUCUGCACCCAGCCUAUAGCUUCACAUAUGACAAUCUCACACCUAUAGCAGUGUGAGGCAAUCUCACACUCUGAAGGAGACAAGUGCUUCUGCACCCAGUCUAUAGCUUCACAUAUGGCAUUCCUCAUAUGCAGCAGCUUAUAGCUCUACAUAUGGCAUUCCUCACAUGCAGCAGCCUAUAGCUCUACAUGUGGCAUUCCUCAUAUGCAGCAGCCUAUAGCUCUAGAUAUGGCAUUCAUCAUAUGCAGCAGCCUAUAGCUCUACAUGUGGCAUUCCUCAUAUGCAGCAGCCUAUAGCUCUACAUGUGGCAUCCCUCAUAUGCAGCAGCCUAUAGCUCUACAUGUGGCAUUCCUCAUAUGCAGCAGCCUAUAGCUCUACAUGUGGCAUUCCUCAUAUGCAGCAGCCUAUAGCUCUACAUGUGGCAUUCAUCAUAUGCAGCAGCCUAUAGCUCUACAUGUGGCAUUCCUCAUAUGCAGCAGCCUAUAGCUCUACAUGUGGCAUCCCUCAUAUGCAGCAGCCUAUAGCUCUACAUGUGGCAUUCCUCAUAUGCAGCAGCCUAUAGCUCUACAUAUGGCAUUCCUCACAUGCAGCAGCCUAUAGCUCUACAUAUGGCAUUCAUCACAUGCAGCAGCCUAUAGCUCCUCAUAUGGCAUUCAUCACAUGCAGCAGCCUAUAGCUCUACAUAUGGCAUCCCUCAUAUGCAGCAGCCUAUAGCUCUACAUAUGGCAUUCCUCACAUAUGCAACAGCGUGAGGCAAUUUCACACAGUCAACUGCAGUUUCUCUUAUAUUCAGCUGAUAUAUAUCCAAUUUAAAUUGGCUUCCUUUCCCGAAUUUUCCCAAACACUUUGAUCAGCUGACUGCAUGCAUGCAGUUUUCUCAGACUGUCAGACUGUCUGAAGAGGACAGAGAGCAGUAGUCCGCACCACCUCACAGGGAGAAGAACUCUCAACCAAAUUUUAGGAAAUCUCCUACCUUUUUCUUUUUGUGCGCACAGAGUGUCCUUAUCCCAUGUGAAGUUCGCAGAACCAUGGUCCCUUGUCCCCCGAAAGGAAUUCUGGCUAAAGCUCGCCAAUUAUGUUGUGGAAAGUCCAGCAUAAACAAUGCACAGGAGACAUGAUGAGAUCUGAAGAACAGCCUGGGCACUUUAAUAGUACAGAUGUAGAAAUCAGUACAGAUGACAAACAGAGUCUCAACCAAGACCCAAGGAAGCCUCCUCUAGCUUCUCUUCUUCUCUCUUUUAUGCUGUUAGGUGUGUGUGUGUGUGUGUGUGUGUGUGUGUGUGUGUGUGUGUGUGUGUGUGUGUGUGUGUGUGUGUGUUCUCCAGAAGGCCCCUCAUGAUGACAUGUCUGCCCCACGACACUUUGUUUAGGUUCGUCUUGACCCUAGCAGAGAUUACAUGUUCCAACAGACAGAUAGUUUGGGCUCCUGCAAGACAGCCUUGCUUACAAUCUCAUGGUCGUGGGGCAGCAGGAGCAGGCCAACCCAGAUUAUUUGUAGCUUCUUACUAAAAGAUAAUUACUCUACAUUUCUUAACCUAAAUGUAUGAAGACAUUCCCCUACAC